rfam:Candidatus Pelagibacter sp. RS40 genome.
GGAGGGGUACCAAAGCGGUCAAAUGGGGCGGGCUGUAAACCCGUUGACUUCGGUCUUCGAAGGUUCGAAUCCUUCCCCCUCCA